ACCUCAGUUAUUAAGGGCUUCCAGUUACAAAAUAAAAAGGAUAAUAGUGUACAGCACUAUAAAUUUGGCAUUAAUUAUUUGAGGAAAAUAUCUAAGAGCAUCACUUUUAAGCUAAGAACAUUUGUCUCCCUCUAGGAACACUUCACAUUGCUGUUUAGCACCCUGUGUGAGAGAUGUAAUAAAACAUUGGAGCUUGUGUUACUGUGCAGUUCUGCAGUGUGUGCAUGAUUGGUUUUGUUGCUUCAGGCUCCUCUGAAUAGGGAGCGAUUCAUCUCUAGGAGGCUAAUUUCUUACAGUUGAGUGCAGGAUUUUAAUAAAUAAACCCAAAAGUGAAGUGCCCUUUUGAACAGCCCUCAUAUCAGCAGGUAAUAUCAGUAAUUUAGGAAACUCAAACCAUUCGCCAUUCCAUCCAAUGUAUUGUGAUCUGUACUGGAUUAUUUAUUUAUUUUUAAUACAUUAUAAGUUAUCUCUUUUGUUGUAAUUAAGAUCUUACAAUACCACUGAGAAAUUUUAACCCCAGAAUGCUGAAGAUGAAUUAUUUGAAGGACAAGUAGUUAAAAUACUGAAUAAAAAUACAUUUUUGAUUGACCAGUUUACAAAUCAUUUGCACCGGUGAGAACAAAGAACGUGUUUUCUACAGUAACAGAUGCUGAGCCAUCCUCUCCUGAAUGAAGACCUGGAGAAAGAGCUUUGAAGAGGGGAUUAAUUUUGUGAUCAGUCGCAGGAGCCACCACUAAUAAAUCUGAAGAAAACUAACAAGGAAUUUCACUAACCAGACACUUCUCAGGCCAAGAAGGUGUGUAGUAUCAAACAAGCUCAAAUCCUGAACAAUAGCCUUUGCACAAAACUCAUGAAAGAAAAAAAAUAUAUGGAUUGUUGCCUUCAUGUACACAUUAAUUUUUCAGAAUUUUUUGCCACCAAGUGUAGCAUCGUAAAAUGGGAUAGGAGGGCAGAAAGAGCCUUCUGUUUAAUACAGACUAAACUACCGUUGUGGGAAAGCAGCCUGUUCAGAUUACACAGCUGAGCAGAUUGUACUGCUUGUAACUUCAGCUGCAGGGCACAACAUCACACUUGCUGAAUUAUUGUAAUGGGUUUGUUACCCUCCCUGGGAGGGAAGAGGAACUAGAUAGAUCACCUGAUUCAUAUUGUGCCAAUAAGGUAUUCCAUACCAUGUUACGUCAGCUCAGGUAUAAAAGAGACGAGAAGGAAGCAAGGGCUUUCUCUUCCGGGUAGCUGCGCAGAAUAGUCGGGCCGUUUCUUCAGAGGAGAAGAGCGUUCUCGUGGGGAAGGAGUCUUUAUUGUUAGUUCUUCUCUGUGUGUAUAGUUUUUACAAUUUGUUUUCCUCUCUAUGUAAAUAUUAAACUGCCUUUCUUAGCA